rnacentral:tRNA from 1 species
UAUAUAUUAUUAUUAUAAUAAUAUAUAUUUUUACUAUAUCUAUAUAUAUAAUUAUAUAUAUAG